GAGUUUGAUCGUGGCUCAGAUUGAACGCUGGCGGCAUGCCUUACACAUGCAAGUCGAACGGCAGCACGGGAGCUUGCUCCUGGUGGGCGAGUGGCGAACGGGUGAGUAAUGGCAUCGGAACGUAUCCUGGAGUGGGGGAUAACGUAGCGAAAGUUACGCUAAUACCGCAUAUUCUGUGAGCAGGAAAGCGGGGGACCUUCGGGCCUCGCGCUCUUGGAGCGGCCGAUGUCGGAUUAGCUAGUUGGUGAGGUAAAGGCUCACCAAGGCGACGAUCCGUAGCAGGUCUGAGAGGAUGAUCUGCCACACUGGAACUGAGACACGGUCCAGACUCCUACGGGAGGCAGCAGUGGGGAAUUUUGGACAAUGGGGGCAACCCUGAUCCAGCCAUGCCGCGUGAGUGAAGAAGGCC
rnacentral:rRNA from 1 species